rnacentral:misc_RNA from 1 species
ACCUCUUCGGAGGUUAGCGGCGGACGGGUGAGUAACACGUGGGCAACCUGCCUAUAAGACUGGGAUAACUUCGGGAAACCGGAGCUAAUACCGGAUAAUUCCUUCCCUCUCAUGAGGGAAGGCUGAAAGACGGUUUCGGCUGUCACUUAUAGAUGGGCCCGCGGCGCAUUAGCUAGUUGAUGAGGUUUUUUUCUCACCAAGGCGGCGAUGCGUAGCCGACCUGAGAGGGUGAUCGGCCACACUGGGACNCAUCCCCUCCCNAGGGACCUACNNGANGCAUCAAGUCAGCUUUG